GCCUCUAUGGCUCAGUGGUAGAGCGUAUCACUAGUAAACACCCGAAAAGGUCAUGAUAAGGUCCCAGGUUCGAUCCCUGGUGGAGGCA
rnacentral:tRNA from 1 species